UCAGAUAUUUAUUGAGGCUCUAUGUCAUGGUAAUUUGUCCGAAGACGAAGCAGUGAACAUAUCAAACAUAUUCAAAAAUAGUUUGACGGUUGAACCGCUCCCAAGCAAAUGUAGACAUGGAGAGCAGAUAACACGUUUUCCUGUGAGUGCCAAACUUGUAAGAGAUGUCAGUGUGAAGAACAAAUCUGAAACAAACUCAGUAAUUGAGCUUUACUAUCAAAUCGAGCCUGAAGAAGCUCA